UACGAAGGGGGGCUAGCGUUGCUCGGAAUCACUGGGCGUAAAGGGUGCGUAGGCGGGUCUUUAAGUCAGGGGUGAAAUCCUGGAGCUCAACUCCAGAACUGCCUUUGAUACUGAGGAUCUUGAGUUCGGGAGAGGUGAGUGGAACUGCGAGUGUAGAGGUGAAAUUCGUAGAUAUUCGCAAGAACACCAGUGGCGAAGGCGGCUCACUGGCCCGAUACUGACGCUGAGGCACGAAAGCAGUGGAGCGAACGGA
rnacentral:rRNA from 1 species